CGACUCGCUACGCGGCAGAUAGUAGUCGCUGGCAAAGCACGCUUCUCGGCAGCAGCCGCGAGAACAACGAGAGAGGGGGGAGAGAAAUAAAAAAAAUACAGAGAGGUAGAGAGGGAGACAGAGGUCAAAGAGCGGAGGAAAUUCGCUACACGUGUUCGCCGUUCGUUUUCCAUGGGAUACGAAGAAAAGGAAACAAAAGAGCGGAGAUUCAACGAAGAGGAGAUAUCGUGAAUCGAGUGGAUCGAGAUAAAAUGGCGGGACGGUAAACGAAAGAAAGUGGCUGGACGCAUCGCGUGUGACAGUAUAUCGUUGCGUGUCUCGUGCGGUCACAUGGCUCACGUGGUAGUCCGUGCCCCUUCCCUUCCUGACCGCAGGGAUUUCUAUGAUGGGUGGUGGGGAUGUCAACUGUGAUUGGAAGGGAUGUAGAAAAGGAGAAAUGGUAGACGAUUCUUAGGAUAGAAAAAGAGGAGAAAGAAGAGGAUAAAAAAGGAUAGAAAAAAGUCUAAGAAGACAUUGCUUCGACACCGAUAAUGAUCACGUGAGGCGAUGUACGCGUGACGCCGCGGUCUGACCGCAAGCUCGUUACGUCUGUCGGAAGUAUAAAUCAACCGCAAAGUUAUUCCGCCGUGCUGUCGGGAACUCCCCGUAGGGCGCCUCGUUGGAAACUGCUACCACCUUCUUGUCCGCGAUAUCGUUCGCGCAGAAGAUAGCGACCAGGAAAUGGAGAAAAGCCGAAAAAGCGAUAAUCAGCAGGCAAAACUGCAAGAGGAUAUUCUUAACUUCGAGAACGAAUUUAUUCUCGCGCAACUUCUGUUCCACGAUCGAGUUUAACAAAGUAUCUCGCGUUUCGCUCGUAUAAUAAAUAAAUAUUCCAACUCACUGGGAGCUCUUAUCUUUCAGCAAAAACCCCAUGAUCCUUCGAUAACCGCGACGCGAAACUUGCUGAUCUGCGAUCAAAUUAAUUGGAAUGAGCAUUUCUGCACAUUAAUAAAAAAUGUCCGCCAAAACAUGUCAGCUUCAGAACAUUAAUCACGAACGGAACAAAAAGAUAAAAAGAUAAUAUUAGUGCUAGUCGAUAACAGUGG